UACGAACUGUGCAAACGUUAUUCGGAUUCACUGGGCUUAAAGGGUGCGUAGGCUGCGCAGCAAGUUGGGUGUGAAAUCCCUCGGCUUAACCGAGGAACUGCGCCCAAAACUGCUGUGCUCGAGGGAGACAGAGGUGAGCGGAACUUAGGGUGGAGCGGUGAAAUGCGUUGAUAUCCUAAGGAACACCGGUGGCGAAAGCGGCUCACUGGGUCUCUUCUGACGCUGAGGCACGAAAGCUAGGGAGCGAACGGG
rnacentral:rRNA from 1 species